rnacentral:rRNA from 1 species
AUUGAACGCUGGCGGCAGGCCUAACACAUGCAAGUCGAGCGAGCGGCGGACGGGUGAGUAAUGUAUGGGGACUGCCCGUUAGAGGGGGAUAACUACUGGACACGGUGGCUAAUACCGCCUACUAUAGGAUAACCCCAAUGGGAUUAGCUAGGUGGUAGGGAAAAGGCUCACCUAGGCGACAAUCUCUAGCUGGUCUGAGAGGAUGAUCAACCACACUGGGACUGAGACACGGCCCAGACUCCUACGGAGGCAGCAGUGGGGAAUAUUGCACAAUGGGCGCAAGCCUGAUGCAGCCAUGCCGCGUGUAUGAAGCAGGCCUUAGGGUUGUAAAGUACUUUCAGCUGGGAGGCGUUACCCGCAGAAGAAGCACCGGCUAACUCCGUGCCAGCAGCCGCGGUAAUUC